CCUACGGGUGGCAGCAGUGGGGAAUAUUGGACAAUGGGGGGAACCCUGAUCCAGCCAUGCCGCGUGUGUGAAGAAGGCCCUCGGGUUGUAAAGCACUUUCAGUGAGGAAGAACGCCUGGUGGUUAAUACCCAUCAGGAAAGACAUCACUCACAGAAGAAGCACCGGCUAACUCCGUGCCAGCAGCCGCGGUAAUACGGAGGGUGCGAGCGUUAAUCGGAAUUACUGGGCGUAAAGCGUGCGUAGGUGGCUUGAUAAGCCGGUUGUGAAAGCCCCGGGCUCAACCUGGGAACGGCAUCCGGAACUGUCAAGCUAGAGUGCAGGAGAGGAAGGUAGAAUUCCCGGUGUAGCGGUGAAAUGCGUAGAGAUCGGGAGGAAUACCAGUGGCGAAGGCGGCCUUCUGGACUGACACUGACACUGAGGUGCGAAAGCGUGGGUAGCAAACAGGAUUAGAUACCCCAGUAGUC
rnacentral:rRNA from 1 species